rnacentral:tRNA from 1 species
CCACUUGUAGCUUAAUGGUCAGAGAAUUGGUGCGUAAAGCCGAAGUUCCCGGGUUCGAUUCCCGGCAAGGGUG